CUGAGAGGAGCCAGUCCCUGUCCCCAGCCUAGAGCUGGGGAGGGAAUGUGGCUCAAACCCAGAGCUUGCUUUUCUAUUCUCCACAGCCCCCGUCCUUGUACAAGGUGUAGGGGAGGGAGCUGGUUCUUCGUCAUCUCUUCUGCCAUAUGAAGAUGCCAGCCACAUGGGUCUGUCUUCCCUGGAGGAACAGCCACCAGACACCAUUUCAGAAGUGGAUACUAGGCCCUUGCCAGACACUGAGCAACCUUGAUCUUACAUGGCUCAUCCCCAGAACUGUGAGGAAAUAGGUUUCUCUGUAUUAAAUUACCUGGGUUAAAGUAUUUUAGACCCAUCUGAACAAUCAGACAUCCUCUCUGGGAAGCUAUUUCCUGUCUGUAAAAUACAGACUGUCUUAUCAGCAAGCCUGAACAGUAGCAGCAUUAAGGAUCGCGGUAACUGCAAGCUCUUCCCCAGAGCUCUGAUCCUCCAGAAUGGCCGAAGCAUUUACUCCCCCCACCCCCCACCCACGAAAGAUCUGCCUCCAGGGCCUGUGGACUGGGCGGAUGCAGAACCUUUACCUGGCCAAGCUGUGGAAACACGGGGGCUGUUCUUCAGCAUGGCUGCUGAGCUGGUCCAACUAUCUUUUGAAAGUCUCUGCUGUGAGGGAGAUCCGUGAUGGAGCCAAGGCAGCCAGAGGCCCUGGACUGAGCCACACCUGAAGCUUUCAACUCAGGGCCUGAGCCGGGCUAAGGACGAGGAGCACACAGCUUGUGAACCUUUAUCCACCUGCACGCUGCCGGUUUGCCAAGCCCUGGGUCAGGUGCUGGAGACCAAGGAUGGGUGACACCUUCGAUUACACAUGUCAUCUGUGGGGCAGAUCUGAGGCAAAGCCAUGGUCCCCUGUGUUGAUCGUUGUGGGAGAAACUGCAGUGCUUUCCAGAGGAGGUGAAUGAAGUUUUUCAGAGCCCCAAACCUCCUGACAGAGCCUAUGUGGCUGAUGGGUACCAGUGUGUAGAAAUAAUACCAAAAGCAGAACUCUGUACUAAAAUCUCCCGGCUGCUGUGGGGGCCCCAGGCCAGUCCUUCUGCCUGGAGCGCUGGCAAGAAGAGGCUUGGAGGGGGGGACACAGGAAGACACUUGUGGCUGAGAGCACCAGGAGAAAGGAGGGGACAGAAGCCAUUUCUUUCCAGCCCCAGUUGUAAAGAAAUGGCUUUCUUCUUGUCUGAGUGCCGCUUGCUUCCCACGACUGGGAAAGGGACAGAUUCGUGCUGUGUUUUACUGAUGCCUUGCCUGGGCCAAGCGGGACCUGAGCAGGCUGAUGUGCCCACAGCUGGCCUGGCCGUACCCAUACUACAACCGCUGUCUUGUUGGCCCUGCCUGGGCCCCAGCCUCCGCAUCCAGCCAGAGAAACUUGGCUGCGCUGCAGUU